rnacentral:pre_miRNA from 1 species
UAGACAGAUUAUUGUAUUUGGCUGUAUUCACGAUAUGUAUUUGUGAAUACAGUAACUCAAAUAGCACAAUUCAUGGUCUAUUCAGCUGUUUUAAACGGAAAGUGGAUCAAUUAACAUAAUAGACUCCU